rnacentral:ncRNA from 1 species
AAUUUUUAUGUUUUAUAAAAUUUAUUAUAAGUUUAUUUUACAUAUAAAUUUUAGUAUGAAAUUUUAACUAUUUAAAUAAUAAUUAAUUGGGGGUAUAGUAAUUAAAAUUAAAAAUUUAAGAAAUUAAGAUUUAGUAAUAUAAAAAUUAAUAACUAAUUUUGUGCCAGCAGUUGCGGUUAUACAAAAAUUAAAUUGAAUUAUUUCAGUAUUUAAUAAAUAAAAUAUAAUUAAAAUAAAUAUUGAAUUAUAAGGUGAAAUUUUAAUUUAAUUAAAUUUUAAGUUAAUUUUAUGAUUUAAUAAAUUUAAAAAUAAACUAGGAUUAGAUACCCUAUUAUUAAAAAUUUAAUUAAUAAUACUAAAAUAGUAGAUAAUAAAUAUUGAAACUUAAAUAAUAUGGCGGUAUUUUAGUUCAUUUAGAGGAAUCUGUUUAAUAAUUGAUAAUCCACGAAUAAAUUUACUUAAUUUAAUAUUUUAUAUAUCGUUGUUAAAAAAAUAUUUUGUAAUAAAAAUAAUAUUUUAAAAUUUAAAUAAUAAAUUAAUUCAGAUCAAGAUAUAGAUUAUAAUUAAGAAUAUAAUGGAUUACAAUAAAAUAAUUUAAAAUGAAUAAUUAAUUUUAACAUUAAUUUAAAGGUGGAUUUAAAUGUAAUUUUAAUUAAUUUAUUAAAAUGAUUAAAAAUUAAAAUAUGUACAUAUUGCCCGUCACUUUCAUUUAAAAAUUGAAAUAAGUCGUAACAAAGUAGAAGUACUGGAAAGUGUUUCUAGAAAGAA